UCAGAUGUUUCUAAUGGCUAUGUUUGAAAGACAGGCACUAACUGAAUCCACCUGCAGUGUCCUAACAUUGGUAGCAUGUCUCUCAAGGGCAACAAUCACCUGACUGAAGGCUGCACCUUGGAAAACUGGAUACUUCAUCCUGGCACCAACUUUUGCAACUAAGAACAAUUUGUUGGAAACACACAAGAGAAAACUCUGCAAGGAGAUUGUAGACUUAGAAGUAAAUUAUUGUCAAGGUACAAGUUAAAAUCCUUUUGAAUAAGGCUUCAAAGCUGAACAUUUGUCAAGCCAGGAAUAUCAUCUGGCACCCAUGCCUGGACACAUCACUUACAUGAAUCCAUGCUCCUGCCUUGAAGUGAGGGUUAAACUGAAUUAAACUAAAGGAAGUCUCUGCUAAUGAAUUUUGUUUGGUCAAGGUACCCAGGAACACCACAACUCUGGGAUUCUGAAUAUAUCACUAUAGAUAUACUCCUCACCUUCUUACCAUCAGAGCCCAGUCAAAUAAUUAUCCCUGCAAAAAACCUCUAAGUCUGCCCCUGGAGUUGUGAUAUAGUAUAGUACAGUUUGGAAAACUCAAACACAAUGCUGGCUUGUCCCAAAGUAAGGUUGCCAACCCUCCAGGAUUGCUCUGGAAUCUCCAGAAAUUAAAGAUUAAUUAAAAUUAUGUCAUGUGAUAAAACAUCCAGGAAUACAUCCAGCCAAAAUUGGCAACUCUAGCCCAAAGAGUAAAGACAAGACAACGGUAAAUUAACAUCACAAGAAUGUUCAGGAUAAGAACCAACCACUCACCCUAAGCCCAGCGCACAGGAGCAGGGAGGUUGGCAGGGCAACCUUGCUGAAGCAGAAGAAGAGGCAUUUGAAUGGCCCUUAGCUCCUUUCCCAACCUAAAUGAAGAGGGGUGAAGCUCCCUCCUUUCCUCCUAGCCAAUAAGGCAGCACCUUAGAGCCCGAGGCUCAAACUUUGGAAUGGCCUGAAACAAAGCAGGGCUAUGAUUGGUUGUGAGGAACAAGCAACCCCUAGAAUCCACGUAGGGAAAUCUCCAACAAAUCCAGUCCAGUUGGCCAAUGCCUAAACAACCUGCAAAUGGAAUAGAGGGGCUAAUGGGGAUAUGAGAUGAACUGUCUAAGUACAAACCUGCCUCAUAUAAAUAUUGUGCAUAUAUAAAUCUAUAUGGUCGCAACAUAUAUAUUAAUAUGUGAUAGAGCAUAUGUAUGCAUUAGGAUCUGGCUUGUGACCCACUUGGGGAAACUUAUUUACAUUGCCUCACUACAAGGGCAAAAUUAUACAGCAAUGAAGCAUGAAUUUGUAACAAAUGACACUUGCCAAGUUUUUUA